rnacentral:rRNA from 1 species
GACGAACGCUGGCGGCGUGCUUAACACAUGCCAGUCGAACGGAAAGGCCUUUUCGGAGGUACUCGAGUGGCGAACGGGUGAGUAACACGUGGGUGAUCUGCCCUGCACUCUGGGAUAAGCCUGGGAAACCGGGUCUAAUACCGGAUAGGACCGCACUUUAGUGUGUGUGGUGGAAAGUUUUUUCGGUGUAGGAUGAGCCCGCGGCCUAUCAGCUUGUUGGUGGGGUAAUGGCCUACCAAGGCGGCGACGGGUAGCCGGACUGAGAGGUUGGUCGGCCACAUUGGGACUGAGAUACGGCCCAGACUCCUACGGGAGGCAGCAGUGGGGAAUAUUGCACAAUGGGCGCAAGCCUGAUGCAGCGACGCCGCGUGGGGGAUGACGGCCUUCGGGUUGUAAACUCCUUUCGCCAGGGACGAAGCGUUUUGUGACGGUACCUGGAGAAGAAGCACCGGCUAACUACGUG